CACGUGCAGCAUAAAAGCAACUUUAUAAUAGUGCUUGAAAAAUGGAAAAAAUUCAAUGUUUUAAAAGGAAAAAUGCCUAAAUAUUGGCAUAGAAGAGUAUUUAAAUCAUUGAAGGGCGUUCUGAAGGCAAAGAAAGGUCUUCAACAAGAUACAUAAUGUAUCUUAAAGUACAAAUGUACAAAAGUAAACAAGCUGCAUGUGAUGACCGAUGAUAAUAAAAUAUGGCUGACAAUAAUAGUCAGUCAGUGGACUUGCCUUAAUGGCAUAUAUAGCUUGACAGAAAAAGUACAGAAGUACAGUCAAGCAGUAAACGGCCUCACUUGAUUGACAGACCAAAUUCAAAGAUCUGUCAUACAAACUCCAAGGAAUYCAAGGAAACCACCAAGACUAGAAUUUAAAAAAAGGGCUGGGGGGCUGGCUUAUAAUCAAGGAUUAGCAGUUAUUGCCUAUUUUCUCUUAGGGUAUAGUUUUCCAUGAAGCAAGAAAGUAAAAUUCUUCUUCAUUUGAAUGCACUUCUAGGUCAUAGUUUAAGUUAUCAACAAUGGAUCGUUGUUGAAGAMACAGGAUCASUUUUSAAGACACAGGUCUUAGAUGCCAGUCCUCCAGCCCCAGCAGUAGAUACAGGAGAGUGUCCUUCUAAGGGUCAGUAUAAUAGGUGGGCUUCAAUGAAGCCUUAGAUGUUUUUGACCGCAGAAAGAGUUUUUGGUAGGAUGUAUGUUAGGAUUGAUUUUUUAUCCGAAUCAGGCACUCUCCUGUAUCUACUGCUUUUUUUGGAAAUGAAAUAAACUUGAYUUGCCUCCCACGAGGCCCUGCCAGCACCUGGCAUGAGCCACCCCAGCAGGCCUAAUCCAUUUGGUAGUCCCGCUGCCCUGACUAGAGCCAAUCGGUUAUAAGGCCAAGACCAGCAAACUUAAGACUGCCCUGAUACUGGUGAUUGGCUGCAUGAAUGCCCAACCUCUCCCCUCUACAGACUYCAGGAGAGGACUCUGAUGUCAUUCAAGUUGGCUAAAAAGGUGAGGGUCAGUGCAAAUGUGAGUCUUCGGUGACCCUGCCCCACCAUUUACUGGUGUGCAUGACAGUGAUGUACUGGGUGAUCAGUAGGCUUGAAGUGAUGCUUCAUUCAGACUUCUCCAAACUAAGUGAUUAUCAAACUGACAUGGAAAACGAAAAGGGAUCUAUUCUGGGAUAAUAUUGUGGGUUUAAAUGUUGUUGGCAGCACUGAUAAAAUGGUCUCUACCACAGAUUGCAAUUUAAUUGAAGUUUUUUCACCAGCAAAGUGAAGACCUCAGCUACCUAAACCGAUACUUUGAACAAUGAAUUAAACUUCAACUGAACUACUUAACUAAAUGCMAUUUUGCGACAUACUUCAACUGCAGUGAGGAAAAUUAUUGGAGCAGACAAAUGUACAAAUGUAUGGUUUGUAUUAAAUGAAAUAUCGAGCAUAAAAAGGGAUUUUCAAAAUUACAAAAAAUCCCAAAAAUUAGAUCUCGUACAAUCCUUCUGCACAAAUGUAUUAGUCAUUACCUGUGCUAUCCAAGUUUAUCAUGCUUUAUCCGUCAAUCCCUAAACAUCAAAUAAACUAAAUAAUGGAGCUGAGGUCUUCAAAAAAUUAUUAACCUUCUAAAAUAUUUUCCAUUGUCGUGUGUUCAUGUUGAUUUAUGGCCACCAAGAACAAACUAUUUCUUUGCAAUAUCAAUUCAAAGCAUUUGAAAACAUGUGAGACUAUAUAAAAUGCUUUAUAGAUGGCUUAUGAAAGUACCAAAAUCAAGUACUGUCACUGAGAAGUGAUGAAAACUAUGAAUUUUUGAGGUAUAUAUAGAAAGCACUUUCAAGAAGAGUAUGAUUCAGCCUUGCAUUGAAACUGUUCCUUGGGCUGUUUGAAAGGAAAUGAAGUGCUCUAGUAAUUGGAUAGAACCAAUAACAGAAGGGUAAUUGAAAUGGAGCAUAAAGCUGCUCAAUAUAGCUGGAUAUUUACAAGCACAGUAAAUGAUGUGYAUUCAAUAAUUGAGCCAACAAGCCAUCAAGACUGAUGCAGUUUAUGAUUACAUAAAGCUCCAUGUUGAUAUUGGUAGUAAGAUUAUACGGCCAGUUUAUUUAAACUGUUACGGCACUUCACUUGUYUCAAGUUUCUUUGCUGGUGAAAAAACUAUCUUAGGCUAAUAUUAAAAUGAUUCAACUUUUUUUUGCCACCAUUUCUCAAUCUAAUCUUAACUCGGUAUGGGUAAGGAGUAAACUUAAAACUACAUGAGAUACAAGGCUCUUGAGUACACAAGACGUAACGCUAUCAGAAGAUAUUCAAGAUGGCGUCCAGGCUAAUCAAUUCAAUAUGGCUUCCAGAUCAAUCAAUUCAAAAUGGCUCCCAGGUUAAUCAAUUCAAAAUGGCUUCCAGGCUAAUUCAAAAUGGCCUCUGUCUAGGCUAAUCAAUUCAAAAUGGCUUCCAGGCUAAUUGUUCAAAAUGGCUUCCAUGUUAAUCAAUUCAAAAUGGCUUCCAGGCUAAUUGAUUCAAAAUGGCUUCCAUGUUAAUCAAUUCAAAAUGGUGGCAAAGUAAAUUAAAGUUAAACUUCUAGACUUUUCCAAUUAAAUUACAUGGUGGUAGUUGGCCUAUCGGUUAAGACCUUCGCAUUUAACCCGCUCUAUUAUCCCAGAAUGAAAUGUUUUAGUUUUCCUGUCAGAUUUGAUAAUCAGAACUUAUGGCGGAGUUGUCUGAAUGUUGCGAAGUGAUGAGCCUAUUGAUCACACAGUGCAUCACUGUCACACACACCAGUGAAUGGURGGGMRGGGUCACUGGAGACUCACAUUUGCACCGACCCUCACCAUUAUAGCCAACUUGAAUGACAUCAGAGUCCCCCCCUGAAGUCUGUAGAGGGGGGAGGUUGGGCAUUCAURCAGUCAGUCUCCARUAUCAGGGCAGUCUUAAGUUUGCUGGUCUUGGCCUUAUAACUUGGCUCUAGUCAGGGCAGCGGGACUACCAAAUGGAUUAGGCCUGUGGGGUGGCAAGAGAAUUGGUGCUGGUGGGGUCUCGGGGAGGCAUAUUUCUUUUUUAAAGUCAAAUGGGCGUGUACCCUAUAGAGAUGGAAUACAUUAAAGACACUAAAGUCAAA